CUGACUCCCAAGCCCGUGCUCUUUCCUUUAAGCCACGCUGCUCCGCCCUGGACCACCUCGGGACGGACCGGACUAACUGCAACAUUGCCACCUCACAGGAUGUGUGAGGCUGAGACCAAAGAAACAUGAAACGGAGAGACAUGGACAAGAGAGGAAACCAGAGAGAACUAGAGAUACAGAGACAGAAUGAUCGAGACCUGAAGACUGCACAGUGUUCUGCACACGACACACACCAAAUGCCAGGAAGUGAUGAUGAUGGCUAAUGGUUAUAAAAACGAAUACAACCUCAGUGGACCAUUUCGGUG